AACGGCGAGUGAAGCGGCAAAAGCUCAAAUUUGAAAUCUGGCUCCAUGCGGAGCCCGAGUUGUAAUUUGGAGAGGACACUUCGGGUGCGGCCACGGCAUAAGUUCCUUGGAACAGGACGUCAUAGAGGGUGAGAAUCCCGUCUUUGGCUGCUGGACCGCGCCCAUGCGAAGUUCCUUCGACGAGUCGAGUUGUUUGGGAAUGCAGCUCUAAGUGGGUGGUAAAUUUCAUCUAAAGCUAAAUAUUGGCCGGAGACCGAUAGCGCACAAGUAGAGUGAUCGAAAGGUUAAAAGCACCUUGAAAAGGGAGUUAAAUAGCACGUGAAAUUGUUGAAAGGGAAGCGCUUGCAACCAGACUCGGUCGUGGGGGCUCAGCGGGCAUGCGUGCCCGUGUACUCCCCCAUGCUCCGGGCCAGCAUCAGUUCUGGCGGUUGGUUAAAGGCCUCUGGAAUGUAUCGUCCUCCGGGACGUCUUAUAGCCAGGGGCGCAAUGCGGCCAGCCGGGACUGAGGAACGCGCUUCGGCACGGAUGCUGGCAUAAUGGUUGUAAGCGGCCCGUCUUGAAACACGGACCAAGGAGUCUAACAUCCACGCGAGUGUUCGGGUGUCAAACCCGUGCGCGCAGUGAAAGCGAACGGAGGUGGGAGCCCCAAGGGGUGCACCAUCGACCGAUCCUGAAGUCUUCGGAUGGAUUUGAGUAAGAGCGUGGCUGUUGGGACCCGAAAGAUGGUGAACUAUGCCUGAAUAGGGUGAAGCCAGAGGAAACUCUGGUGGAGGCUCGCAGCGGUUCUGACGUGCAAAUCGAUCGUCAAAUUU
rnacentral:rRNA from 1 species